UACGUAGGGGGCUAGCGUUGUCCGGAAUCAUUGGGCGUAAAGCGCGUGUAGGCGGUUCGGUAAGUCUGCUGUGAAAGUCGGGGGCUCAACCCUCGAAUGCCGGUGGAUACUGUCGGACUAGAGUGCGGAAGAGGCGAGUGGAAUUCCCGGUGUAGCGGUGAAAUGCGCAGAUAUCGGGAGGAACACCAAUGGCGAAGGCAGCUCGCUGGGACGUUACUGACGCUGAGACGCGAAAGCGUGGGGAGCAAACAGG
rnacentral:rRNA from 1 species